GAUGCGGGUUUCGUACUCAGCAUGUUUCACCGUCACUGAUGCUUACUUGUUCUAGUUUUAGCACUUGGCCUAAGAUACUGAAAGGAGCGAACUUCCCAGGUCAUCACUGGUGCCAGCCAAAAAGUGUGGUGGAUUCACAACAUCGACAAGGAAAAUGGGCUUACUUCGCAUGUUGUAUACAAUUUUUGCGGACAUCUAUUGGUUUCCUUGGGUUAUGACAGAUUUUAAGAAUAUGCUUUAUCGCUAUUGGCAAGGAAAACUUCCCAAGUCAUGUGAGUUUACAGACUGCGAAGGAAACACGGUAUCUUUGACAGAGUUCAAUGGAGUUACCUUUGAUAGGUCAUUUCUAGGACUACAGGACGCUGUAGAAAAUCCUAAUCACUUUCAAGCAAGAGAGGAUGAUAUAUGGGUGGUUAACUGGCCCAAAUCGGGAACUCACUGGUUGUGGGAGAUCAUCAUGAUG